CGGGGGGGCAAGCGUUGUUCGGAAUUACUGGGCGUAAAGGGCUCGUAGGCGGCCAACUAAGUCAGACGUGAAAUCCCCAGGCUCAACCUGGGAACUGCGUCUGAUACUGGUUGGCUUGAAUCCGGGAGAGGGAUGCAGAAUUCCAGGUGUAGCGGUGAAAUGCGUAGAUAUCUGGAGGAAUACCGGUGGCGAAGGCGGCAUCCUGGACCGGCAUUGACGCUGAGGAGCGAAAGCCAGGGGAGCAAACGGGAUUAGAUACCCCGGUAAUCCUGGCCCUAAACGAUGAAUGCUUGGUGUAACGGGUAUCGAUCCCUGUUGUGCCGAAGCUAACGCAUUAAGCAUUCCGCCUGGGGAGUACGGUCGCAAGGCUG
rnacentral:rRNA from 1 species